UCCCCACCCUCUUCGUCUACACCAAUGAGCGAGGCGGCGGCAUUCCCGGGGCUCGCGGGCGUUCGCUGGCUGUGCGGCGGGAAGGUUUGGGCGAACCCUUUCCCCCGCGGCGGGGGCUGCCUAGCGCCCUCUCUCGACAGGAGGAGGACUUACACGCGAGCGGCUAUCCACGCCUCCGAUCCAAAGAACAGAGUAUAGCCAGAGUCAUUCAUUGAACGGCACCUAAAACUUAGAGCGCUGUCCCCAGUGGGCCCCGGAGUUGCCACCGAGGACCGUUCUGCAUUCAUGCACACACUUCAAUGGAGUCACUGUAUGUUCUGGUUCCUGAGUCUCACUCCAGCGCCUCUUCUAGGAAACAGUCUGUCUCCUGCUGACACCCGACUUAACAAGAUCAGAAAAAUUGCUUCACUUUCGUUACUCAAAAGACUUCAGAGGACCCCGGGUUGAUUCCCAGCAUCCAAUAAUGGCUCACAACUG